rnacentral:tRNA from 1 species
GACCCCAUCGUCCAGCGGUUAGGACAUCAGGUUUUCAUCCUGGAAACACGGGUUCGAUUCCCGUUGGGGUCGCCA